UCAUGUGUUGUUCUCUUCAGAUAUCAAAUAAAUCUUUAGCCUUUUACGAAAGAUUUCUGUGAAAGGAUCACUCUAAUAAGUCUAAGCCCAAUUUUUGGGAAAGUUGGUUGUUUAUGAUGU